GAUGAACGCUGGCGGCAUGCCUAAUACAUGCAAGUCGAACGAAGCUAGUUAAUUGAAAGUGCUUGCACCGGAUAUUAACAGUGCUUAGUGGCGAACGGGUGAGUAACACGUAAGCAAUCUACCUUUAAGAAGGGAAUAAUUUCCGGCAACGGAUUGUAAUACCCUAUAGGAUAUUUGAUGGCAUCUGAUAAUAUUUAAAGGCGUUUAGGUAACUAAUCGUCACUUAAAGAUGAGCUUGCGGCGCAGUAGCUUGUGGGUGGGGUAACGGCCUACCAAUGCGAUGAUGCGUACGCGGCCUGAGGUGGUGAGCGGCCACACUGGGACUGAGACACGGCCCAGACUCCGUCGGGAGGCAGCAGUAGGGAAUCUUCCGCAAUGGGCGAAAGCCUGACGGAGCAAUGCCGCGUGAGUGAAGAAGGCCUUCGGGUCGUAAAACUCUGUUAUAAGAGAAGAACAAAUUGUAGAGUAACUGCUACAGUCUUGACGGUAUCUUAUCAGAAAGCCACGGCUAACUACGUGCCAGCCGCCGCAGUAA
rnacentral:rRNA from 1 species